GAGGGGGGGACGCGAGCCCAGGCGCGGUGCGCGCAGGCAGUUGCGGGCACGAGCCCCACGCCUGGAGGAGGAGGAGCCAGGCCCGGGAGGAGGGCUAGCGAGGUUCCCGGGAACGCAGGUCCCCCCCACACACACCCCCGCCCCAGUCCAAGGCGUCCUCCCUUCGUGGUGAUCAAAUUCAAUCCACAGCUCUAAAAAAGUUUACAUUCUGCAACCCCGCACCACCACCACCCCAAGCAAAAAGGUCAAGAUGAAGAUCCUUAUCAUGGCCUUUGUCCUGGAUGCCUUGACUCCUGCCUGGCCUUGAACCGUUGUUUUCUUUGCUCCAUAAACACCAGCCUUUCAGUUCCUGGAAUGUACUUGGCUUCCUACUGUCAUUUCUUCUCCUGCCAUAAGGCAUUGUAGCACAAGUUCUCUCUGCUGGAAAGCUCCUGGCCCAUCUACACACCUGUUCAUCCUUCAUAUAAAAAAUUAGGAAGCACUUACUCAAGAAGUCUCCCUGACAUAUCCUCUACCCGCCAGUCUCCAUUAGAUUCUUUUAUUAUAUGUACUUUCUGUUGGGGAUUUGUCUCUGUCUUUCAUGUCUCUGUUUAUCAUUGUGUGUGAUUAUUAACAUCUGUUAACCAACUAUGCUAUAUGUUACAGGAGUUCAGAGACCAUGCUUAUUUUUACUUAAAAUUGUAUCCCCUGCAAUUAGUGCACUGCCUGACUUAGAGUACGCACUCAAUAAAUAGCUGUUGUGAAAAAAAAAAAUGAAGGAAUAAAUGAAUGUAUAGCACACAUAGGUUUAAAUGUGUAAUGUUACUUUUAAAACAUUUCAGGGGUGCCUGGGUGGUUAAGCGUCCGACUUCGGCUCAGGUCAUGAUCUCACAGCUCAGUAGUUCGAGCCCUGCGUGAGGCUCUGUGCUGACAGCUCAGAGCCUGGAGCCUGCUUCGAAUUCUGUGUCUCCCUCUCUCUCUGCUCCUCCCCCACUCAUGCUGUCAUGCUGUCUCUCUCUCUCUCUCUCCCCUUCAAAAAUAAAUAAAAACAUUUAAAAAUUUUUCAUAUUUCUGAAAAUAAAUACUGCAAUUCAGUCACUUGGAUUGUUGCCACAUUCAUAGAGUCUAUGGAGAAUUAAUGGCUGAAGACAUGUCAUGAGAAAUGAGAAGAAAGUACAUGUUAUUGAUAGCAAGGUGCUGGAAAGUAGUUUGAUCAAGGUAGACCCGCAAAAGAAAAUGAUAAGAAAGUUAACAAUGUAUUGGUUCACAACACGGAAGGCUGUUUCUGCUUAUCCAGUGGUGUUUGGUAAUUAUAGAGGUCAAUGGAUUCUCGACUUCAAAGGAUAAGACCAUAUACAUGUGUUUUCCAGUGUUCAAGAAUAGAGAAUUCCAAUAAACCUUGCCUUAGUAUUCUCUGCCUAGAAUGGGAUGAUGCAUUCUUAUUUAGCUGGGAUAUAGGAUUAAUUAGCUGCCCUAUAGCUGAACCAUGUGGAUGCAAAAUCAACAAUUAUUCUAUAAGAUCUUUGUCACGAAGGAGUUGCAGUGGAUGAACUAUAAGAUGCCUUUUAUCACUUAUAUAUUCUUAUUUUAUAAAAAUUCUCCUUAUCUGCUAAGAGACUAAUUUUCUUAGGAAUUUUAUUACAAAUGAUAAUUAUCCUUUCGAAUCACUUAUUGCUAUAUCUUAAGGUCUUGAGUCAAAUGAACUGUUCAUCUGUUCUUUAUCCCUAUAAAUCCAAGUGUAUGUUCAGAGAAAUGUUUUCUACUUAAAUAUAUAACUAAAGGAAUAUUUAUAUAUCUGUAUAUGCACACAUUUAUAGCAUGAUAAGUACUAUAGUAAUUACCAUAGGACUAGUUAGUUAAGACAGGAGCCAGUAAAUAGCUGUUGCACAAAUAUGUUCUGCCACCUGCUUUUGUGUAUGAAAGUUUACUGGGUCAUAGCCAUGUGCAUUUAUUUAUGUAUUAUCUAAUAGCUCCUUUGUGCUAUAAUGGCAGAACCCAGUAGUUGCAAUAGAAUCCAUGUGCCCACAAAGCCUGAAACAUUUCCAUCUGAUCCUUUAAGACAAAAAAUUUUCCAGCCUCUGAACUAAGUGAACUAAGUGAAAGAGUUGUUCAUUGAACUGCAUAAACAGAUGGUUCUUUUAUAUCUUCCUUUGACAAUUACUAUUUAAAAGGCUUCUUUCUAGCUAGCUCCUAUGGAAAUAUUGUUCAGUCAGUAUCAAAAAAAUGAUUUGGAUAAUUAAGUAGUUAUCUUUUUGUUUUCCAAAAGAAGAAUUGAAAAAUAUUUUUUGCGUAUAAUUUAUAAAAUGUAAAGCACUAUGGUAGGCCUUAUUUUAAAUUAAAAACAGAAAAAAACCGCCUCUUCAACAAACAGUUUGAUGAAAGAAUGUGUGAUUUGUACCAAAAAACUAAAAUAAAAGGUCUGUAUACAUCCUCC